rnacentral:rRNA from 1 species
GGGGUCUACUGCAUAGUCUCAAGAUUAAGCCAUGCAUGUCUAAGCAGAAGCCGCACAACGGUAAAGCCGCGAAUGGCUCAUUACAACAGCCGUCGUUUCUUGGAUCUCUAAUUUUACUUGGAUAACUGUGGUAAUUCUAGAGCUAAUACACGCACUAAAGCUCUGACCUUACGGGACGAGCGCAUUUAUUAGAACAAAACCAAUCGGGUUUCGGCCCGUCCGUUGGUGACUCUGAAUAACUCUGCCGAUCGCACGGUCUCGAACCGGCGACGUAUCUUUCAAGUGUCUGCCUUAUCAACUGUCGAUGGUAGUUUAUGUGCCUACCAUGGUUGUAACGGGUAACGGAGAAUAAGGGUUCGACUCCGGAGAGGGAGCCUGAGAAACGGCUACCACAUCCAAGGAAGGCAGCAGGCGCGCAAAUUACCCACUCUCGGCACGAGGAGGUAGUGACGAAAAAUAACGAGACGGAUCUCUUUGAGGCCCGUUAUCGGAAUGAGAACAAUUCAAAUCCUUUAACGAGGAUCUAGCGGAGGGCAAGUCUGGUGCCAGCAGCCGCGGUAAUUCCAGCUCCGCAGGUGUAUAUCUAUGCUGCUGCGGUUAAAAAGCUCGUAGUUGGAUCUGCGUGCUCGGAACCGGUUGACUCACUGAGUUCUUACUGGUCUCCGGCGCUUUAUUUGCUGGUUUUCCCUUGAUGCUCUUAAUCGGGUGUCUUGGGUGGCUAGCGUGUUUACUUUUGAAAAAAUUAGAGUGCUCAAUACAGGCGCAAAGCCUUGAAUAGUGGUGCAUGGAAUAAUAGAAUAGGACCUCGGCUCUAUUUUGUUGGUUUUCGGAACGCGAGGUAAUGAUUAAGAGGGACAGACGGGGGCAUUUCGUAUUGCGACGUUUAGAGGUGAAAUUUCUGGGAUCGUCGCAAGACGG